rnacentral:rRNA from 1 species
ACAAAAAUGCACAUAUUGUGAGCUCGAUGAGUAGGGCGGGACACGUGGUAUCCUGUCUGAAUAUGGGGGGCCCAUCCUCCAAGGCUAAAUACUCCUGACUGACCGAUAGUGAACCAGUACCGUGAGGGAAAGGCGAAAAGAACCCCGGCGAGGGGAGUGAAAAAGAACCUGAAACCGUGUACGUACAAGCAGUGGGAGCACGCUUAGGCGUGUGACUGCGUACCUUUUGUAUAAUGGGUCAGCGACUUAUAUUCUGUAGCAAGGUUAACCGAAUAGGGGAGCCGAAGGGAAACCGAGUCUUAACUGGGCGUUAAGUUGCAGGGUAUAGACCCGAAACCCGGUGAUCUAGCCAUGGGCAGGUUGAAGGUUGGGUAACACUAACUGGAGGACCGAACCGACUAAUGUUGAAAAAUUAGCGGAUGACUUGUGGCUGGGGGUGAAAGGCCAAUCAAACCGGGAGAUAGCUGGUUCUCCCCGAAAGCUAUUUAGGUAGCGCCUCGUGAAUUCAUCUCCGGGGGUAGAGCACUGUUUCGGCAAGGGGGUCAUCCCGACUUACCAACCCGAUGCAAACUGCGAAUACCGGAGAAUGUUAUCACGGGAGACACACGGCGGGUGCUAACGUCCGUCGUGAAGAGGGAAACAACCCAGACCGCCAGCUAAGGUCCCAAAGUCAUGGUUAAGUGGGAAACGAUGUGGGAAGGCCCAGACAGCCAGGAUGUUGGCUUAGAAGCAGCCAUCAUUUAAAGAAAGCGUAAUAGCUCACUGGUCGAGUCGGCCUGCGCGGAAGAUGUAACGGGGCUAAACCAU